rnacentral:rRNA from 1 species
GACGAACGCUGGCGGCGUGCUUAACACAUGCAAGUCGAACGGUGAAGCGCCUUCCUUUUUGGUGGGUGUGGAUGAGUGGCGAACGGGUGAGUAACACGUGAGUAACCUGCCCCCUUCUUCUGGAUAACCGCAUGAAAGUGUGGCUAAUACGGGAUAUUCUGUGUCUGUCGCAUGAUGGGUCUGUGAAAGAUAUUGUUUCGGUGGGGGAUGGGCUCGCGGCCUAUCAGCUUGUUGGUGGGGUGAUGGCCUACCAAGGCGGUGACGGGUAGCCGGCCUGAGAGGGUGGACGGUCACACUGGGACGGAGACACGGCCCAGACUCCGACGGGAGGCAGCAGGGGGGAAUAUUGCACAGUGGGCGCAAGCCUGAUGCAGCGACGCCGCGUGAGGGAUGGAGGCCUGCGGGUUGUGAACCUCUUUCGCCAGUGAAGCAGGCCUGCCUCGUUUGUGGGUGGGUUGACGGUAGCUGGAGAAGAAGCGCCGGCUAACUACGUG